rnacentral:SRP_RNA from 5 species
ACCCGGGUCCCGCGUGACGCCCAUCCUGUGAACUCCCCCAGGGCCGGAAGGCAGCAAGGGUCAACAGGCUCUGGCGGGUGCGCGGGGCCCGCCUUAU